AUGUACAUGUAUAAUUUAAUGUAUAUUGUAUGAAUUGAUUAAAAUCUUUUGUGCUUUUUAUUUCUCUACAGAUCUUGAGAUGGCCAUUGCCUACUGGAAUCUUAUUUUUACUGGUCGCUUCAAAUUUUUGGACUUGUGGUGUGAAUUUUUAAGAUCUCAUUAUAAAAAAGCUGGCAAUACCCAAAGACACUUGGAACCUUCUGCUAGAGUUUUCUAACAGGAUUGAUGACACCAUGAGCAAUUAUGAUGAAGAUGGCCCCCCAAGCCCCAAGAGUUCACUAUAAACCUGAGACUAGGGGCCCCUUUAAUUGGGUGCCUACUGCUAAUUCCCCAUUGCCCCCUCCUAUUGGUAGUCAUGCAUGAUGUACAUGUGACUAGUAAC